AUUGAACGCUGGCGGCAGGCCUAACACAUGCAAGUCGAACGAGUGGCGGACGGGUGAGUAAUGUCUGGGAAACUGCCUGAUGGAGGGGGAUAACUACUGGAAACGGUAGCUAAUACCGCAUACCAUCAGAUGUGCCCAGAUGGGAUUAGCUAGUGGGUGGGGUAAAGGCUCACCUAGGCGACGAUCCCUAGCUGGUCUGAGAGGAUGACCACCCACACUGGAACUGAGACACGGUCCAGACUCCUACGGGGGGCAGCAGUGGGGAAUAUUGGCCAAUGGGGGCAAGCCUGAUGCAGCCAUGCCGCGGGUGUGAAGAAGGCCUUCGGGUUUUAAAGCACUUUCAGCGGGGAGGCGUUACCCACAGAAGAAGCACCGGCUAACUCCGUGCCAGCAGCCGCGGUAAUAC
rnacentral:rRNA from 1 species